rnacentral:rRNA from 1 species
UACGUAGGGGGCAAGCGUUGUCCGGAUUUAUUGGGCGUAAAGAGCGUGUAGGCGGCCAAGCAGGUCCGCUGUGAAAACUCGAGGCUCAACCUCGAGACGUCGGUGGAAACCGUUUGGCUAGAGUCCGGAAGAGGAGAGUGGAAUUCCCGGUGUAGCGGUGAAAUGCGCAGAUAUCGGGAAGAACACCCGUGGCGAAGGCGGCCUUCUGGACCAGUACUGACGCUCAUGCACGAAAGCGUGGGGAGCAAACAGG